GACGAACCUUGCUAACGUUAUUCGGAAUCACUGGGCUUAAAGGGUGCGUAGGCUGUGCAGUAAGUUGGGUGUGAAAUCCCUCGGCUUAACCGAGGAACUGCGCCCAAAACUACUGUGCUUGAGGGAGAUAGAGGUGAGCGGAACUGAGGGUGGAGCGGUGAAAUGCGUUGAUAUCCUCAGGAACACCCGUGGCGAAAGCGGCUCACUGGGUCUCUUCUGACGCUGAGGCACGAAAGCUAGGGGAGCAAACGGG
rnacentral:rRNA from 1 species